CUCUGGCUGUGGGACCGCCUGUUUCCUGCCUGUGAAGUGGGCAGAGUCCAGACUCUGAGGGUGCCGCUCCCAGGCUGCUGCCCCGACAGCACAGCCGAGCGCCACACCUGCCUCUCUCCCAGGCCCCCUCCCCUCCUCCGUCCCGCCGGGGUGGAAGAGCUGGCGGCUCUUCGCUUCCAGGCUGCGGUCGCCUCCUCCUCGGCUGCGGACUGGCAGGGGCUGAGGGCUCGGAGCCGCUUUCCGCACGCGCCGAUCCCGCCCGGGACGGCAGGGGACCCGAGUGUGCGGCGCUUCCCGCUCGCCGGGCAGCCUCGCCCCGGCCUGCCCCUCCGACAGCCCAUAAAUAUUCCCGAGGCCCGGAGGGGUCAGAAAACGCCUUUCCAGCGCGCCUUCUGGCUCCAGCCCACCUUUCCCCGCGCGGAACCCUGUGAGGAAAGGCCUGGAAACCCGUCACCAUCGCGACCGCCAACCCUCGCCCUGCGCAGCCCGAGGGCGCAAGCGUGGGCUCCUGGGGGUGGGUGCGGCAGGGAAGGCGGACACAGACCCAAGAGUUGCUUGGGUUUCCCUGGGAGGCAGAGGCACCUGGAAGACCAGCCCAGAGCUGAAGAUCUGAGAUGACAGAUUGGCAGCAUCCUGGCUCAGAGCAGCUGCAGCAGGUAUCCAGGCAUGGGAGCAGGCAGGCAUCUUGGGACAACAGGAUCAGAUGCAUGUGAGUAAAGCCGUGGGAUUCCGGUAGGACCUAGAUGAAGGAGCCAUGACUGAUGUCAUCACACCCUUCUCUUCGCCCAGAUGAAAGUCCAGUGAGCCACCUGUGUUUAUGCAGCAAGCUCAUGGCAAGGCAUUUUGGCUGACAGGAAGAGCAGGAACAAAGUGAUCAAGACUCCCAUGUUCAACACAGGUGACCUGAGUCUGCAAUGAGGUAAAGCAUGGGAAAACAUCUAGUCCAAUGGAAUAUAGUAGAUGCUUAAUAAAAUUUAUUGAGCAUCAGACCUUAUGCUGAGAAGCAAUGGUCACACACAGUGUCUUCCCUUGAGCUCAGCCUGGGGAGAGAAAGAGAUGGGUACAGAAACAUUCCUGGCCUAUGCAGAGAUAAAGGACAGCACAGGGACUAUGGGACCCAGAGGAAGAUGGGAUUGAACUUUUAUCAAGAACAGGCUCUGUACUCAGUAGUGAACUUGGGGAGAAGGGUAUAUUAGGAAGCCUUCAUGGAGGAGGUGACUUUGCACUGGCACUGUUUUUUUGUUUGUUUGUUUUGUUUUGUUUGAGAUGAAGUCUUGCUCUGUUUUCCAGUCUAGAGUGCAGUGGCACCAUCUCGUCUCAUUGCAAUCUCCACUUCCUAGUUUGAGCGAUUCUCCUGCCUCAGCCUCCUGAGUAGCUGGGACUACAGACAUGUGCCACCAUGCCUGGCAAUUUUUUUGAUUUUAGUAGAGACAGGGUUUCACCAUGUUGACCAGGCUGGUCCCGAACUCCUGGCCUCAAGUGAUCCACCCGCUUUGGCCUCUCAAAGUGCUGGGAUUAUAGGUGUAACCCACCAUGCCCAACCUGCACUGGUUUUUAAGCCAAGGAGAAAGAGAAAGUUAUUGCAAGCAGAGGCAAGAAUAUAUAUUGGUCGGUGCAGAAGUAAUUGCGGUUUUUGCCAUUGAAUGUAACGGGAAAAAAAAUCGCAAUUUUGCAUCAACCUAAUACAAAGCCACAGCAUUGGGGAAAGUAUGGAACGUUUAAGGAGCUGGUGAGUAUUUUGCUGUAUAGGAAAUGGGGCAUCAGACAUCAGCAGAGGCCUGGAUGGGAAGGACCUUGAAUUCUAGCUCAGGAGCAAGCAUGGACAGCAAGGGCAGUGAGGAACCAUGAAAGGUUUCUGAGCAAGAGAAUGAUGUGGUCAGAAUCCAUUAGAGAAGGAAACAUCUUGCAUUCAUCAAGUCAUCUGGAGAGACCUGGGGGUGGUGGAACUCUUAGCUUGCUUCAACCCACUGGGAUUUAUUUAGGUCAAAGCCGGGCCCCUGGGACUUGUGGCCUCUUCCAAGAUGAACAGUAGGUGGCGCUGCAGCUCUGUGUAUACAGCCUCCAGGGCUACCUGCCCUUACCUGGGUGGGUCAGACCCUUGUCCUGCUUGGCCCUGGGGCUUGGACCCCAUCACCAGUGAUGAGACUUGGAGGGGUGGGGUGGGGAUGGGCUUUGCUCCUACCCCAGAAGCAGGGAAGGCCUUGCUUUACAGAGCCACAGGAUGUGUGAGCAGAGAGGCCCUCCAGGGCUCUUCUGGCCCAUGUCCUAUUUCAUGUGUGGGUAAACUGAGGC
rnacentral:lncRNA from 1 species